UCUCCUAAGUGGAGUGUGGCUGGCCCUCAGCUCCAGUCACAUCCCGAGUGAGGCACUGUUGUCCAUUGGCUGCAAGCAGUAAACUACUGCCAUGUUGGGUUCGGACUGUCACCCUUACAUCCUGCCUGCCAGCCCUGUUGGUGACCAGCAGCCUAGAAUGCUGUCCUGGACCAGGAAAGCCUAUGAGAG
ensembl:misc_RNA